rnacentral:rRNA from 1 species
AGAACGAACGCUGGCGGCAGGCUUAACACAUGCAAGUCGAACGCACCGCAAGGUGAGUGGCAGACGGGUGAGUAACGCGUGGGAACGUACCUUUCGGUUCGGAAUAACCCAGGGAAACUUGGGCUAAUACCGGAUACGCCGGAAACGGGAAAGAUUUAUCGCCGAAAGAUCGGCCCGCGUCGGAUUAGCUAGUUGGUGAGGUAAUGGCUCGCCAAGGCGACGAUCCGUAGCUGGUCUGAGAGGAUGAUCAGCCACACUGGGACUGAGACACGGCCCAGACUCCUACGGGAGGCAGCAGUGGGGAAUAUUGGACAAUGGGCGAAAGCCUGAUCCAGCCAUGCCGCGUGAGUGAAGAAGGCCUUAGGGUUGUAAAGCUCUUUCAGCGGGACGAUAAUGACGGUACCGCAGAAGAGCCCGCUAACUCGCGCAGCAGCCGC